rfam:Tupaia chinensis contig65834, whole genome shotgun sequence.
ACAUGGGUUUGAAUUUAUGACAGGGUCAUUCCCCUGUGCCUCUUGUAGUGACCACUCAUGGUAGAGCAAACUGACCUCUCACCAUUGCAUGGCCUCUCUGCUUUUAGGCCACUGGCACUGAAGAGAGUUACACAUGA